CGGGAACAGAGACGGGUUUAAUGGUUAUAAUAUUCAGAUAGCUUUGUUCAUCUCUUCGCUGCUAACUUCAGUCCUCAUGAUCAUCACAGCAAUGUGUUGUCCGUACAGAGCUUGUCAGCAGCAUGUGAGCGUCAGUGUCACACCUGACUCUGAACUGAAGACUGUGGUUCUGUAUUCAAUACUGAGUGAUCAUCAUCCAGUUUCAUACAGCAACUGUCACC